UACAGGGGGGCAAGCGUUGUUCGGAAUUACUGGGCGUAAAGGGUCUGAUAGGUGGCCAACUAAGUCUAGACGUGAAAUCCCUCAGCUUAACUGGGGAACUGCGUCGUGAUACUGGAUGGCUCGAAGUGUGGGAGAGGAAUGGCGGAAUUCCAGGUGUAGCGGUGAAAUGCGUAGAUAUCAAGGAGGAACACCGGUGGCGAAGGCGGAUCGUCUGGGCCAUUACUGACGCUGAGGAGCGAAAAGCGUGGGGAG
rnacentral:rRNA from 1 species